rnacentral:lncRNA from 1 species
GAUGUAAGCUGUGUGGAUGAAAUACUUAAAUUUGUGCUGCUCAUAUACUCUUGGAUAUAUGGCCAACCACUGGGUUUGGCCGACCUUCCAAGAGCCACACCCUGACUCUGUCUCCCAGCAGCUUGCUAUCUGUUGUCUGUAGCUCCUCAGCUUGGGGUGGGGCUUUGUGCCCACCUCCCUCUCUGUCCAUGCAAGAGGCUGCUUGUAAGAGGUUGUAGUAGACACUGUUUCUUCCCCCUUCUGUCAUUCUGUUGCCCAGAAGUAGCCAGACAUGUGACUUUUCCUAUAUAAAUAUUGACUGGGGUGUAGGCUGUGAUUUGUGUUUGAUACUAAUAAACUAUAGACGUCA